UACCGUGAGGUAUGCACUGAAGGAAGCCAAACGGCAAAAUCCGGUACUGACGAACAGAAACUGUAUAUGAGGCUAUAAAGUGUGGAUAAGUGAACACAUCAUUACAACGUCCAACUAACACCAAGAGUGCUUUUUAGUAGAUACCGCAGGAAUUGGAUGAAGGAAA
rnacentral:ncRNA from 1 species